AAUUGGUCUUCAAAGCCUCAUUUUCUUUGUUCAUUUCCUCAAUUAAUUCUUGAAUUUCAUCAAUAUCUUCUUCAGAUGUAGAAGCAAUAGCCUCUGCAGCACUACCAUAACUCCUCAAAACUCCUAAAGAUCCACAAACUCGAAAAUCUCCUUUAACUCUAGAAAAUAUUGAACUCUCAGAAAAACCCAAGUAGUGAUUCCUACAACUAUCUUCACACAUCCCAUCUAAACACCUACUUUUACCAUUAA
rnacentral:misc_RNA from 1 species